rnacentral:rRNA from 1 species
GAUGAACGCUGGCGGCGUGCCUAAUACAUGCAAGUCGAGCGAACGGACGAGAAGCUUUCUUCUCUGAUGUUAGCGGCGGACGGGUGAGUAACACGUGGAUAACCUACCUAUAAGACUGGGAGAACUUCGGGAAACCGGAGCUAAUACCGGAUAAUAUUUUGAACCGCAUGGUUCAAAAGUGAAAGACGGUCUUGCUGUCACUUAGAGAUGAAUCCGCGCUGCAUUAGCUAGUUGGUAAGGUAACGGCUUACCAAGGCAACGAUGCAUAGCCGACCUGAGAGGGUGAUCGGCCACACUGGAACUGAGACACGGUCCAGACUCCUACGGGAGGCAGCAGUAGGGAAUCUUCCGCAAUGGGCGAAAGCCUGACGGAGCAACGCCGCGUGAGUGAUGAAGGUCUUCGGAUCGUAAAACUCUGUUAUUAGGGAAGAACAUAUGUGUAAGUAACUGUGCACAUCUUGACGGUACCUAAUCAGAAAGCAACGGCUAACUACGUG